rnacentral:misc_RNA from 1 species
AUUACUAAUUAAUGCAUACAAAAUUUACAAAGUAUAAAAAUUCUUUAUAAAAAAAAUAUAAAUCUAAAAAUCAAUGUGAUUUUUGGCAUUGCAUUUCAUUAGCCAUUGCUUCAUAGUUAGGAGAGUAUGAUGAUAUUCUUGUUUGUAAGCAAUUGUCAAGGUGUUCAUCUGUAAGUUGUGAUCUGUACUUUGAUUUUAUGAUAUUCAUUGUCGAAAACAAUGAUUCACACAAGUAUGUGGAACCAGAAAAUGAUUUUGUUUUAUAGGCUGCUCUUUUCAAGAAUGGAAAUUUGUUUCUGUCAACUAUAUUCUAGAAAUUCUCAUCUGAUAGAUGGUAUUUUAGGACAAUGUCAUUCUGAAGAUCAAAAUUUCUAGUUCCAGUUCUUGUCCUUACUUGAGCAAGCUCUGAAAUGUAUGUAGCUAGUUUGAUUACAUUUACUUGGUAAGUAAAGGACUGACAAAAAAGGUGAUCAUUGGCUCGAUGAUAUUAAAUUGUUUAAAGUGCUUUUCAAACUGGUUUUGAAGUAAUUGAAGGUUCAAUCGGCAAUGUACUACAACGGGUUAAAGUGAACAAAAAACAACGUACCAGGAACCUGUUGCCAGUGUGCUUCUCGGUAAAAACAAAGUAUUACAAACGUUUCAAACUUGUAAGUUUUUCUUCAGGUAACAGACGUCUAAGCGAAUGCCAUUCAAAUUCAAUUCAAAUAAGAACACCAUUAAGAAUUCUAUCGCAUGUAUCAAUAGCGUCAUUGACGCAUGCGCCCCUUUGCUUGUUGUAAAUUAUUGUAAGUUCUUGUCUACGAGCACCUGCCAUGCAGUUGACAGGGUGAUUUUGUCUUUGUUGUUAAUACAAUUGUCGUCUUUUAGUGUAGCCAUACAUAUGCACAGGGCCUCUAGCCAUCUAAGGUGGUGUGUGUAUUUUGUGGUGCGGAUUACCUGGCCUGGCUGAAUAACGGCUCUACUUCUGUAUGUGAGGCAUAGAUGGCUGGAGCGGUGGUUUGCCUUGCAUGUAGAAUAUUUGCCAUGUGUUCUUUAAUUGAAGGUUAAUAACAAAUGUUGACAAGUAAAUUUCACCGUCGUCUAUCAUUUUUUUCAUAUUUGGAAAAUGCACAAGGGACUUUAUCUACAGAUGUGAUAUCCAAAACCAGUUUAGCUUUAAACGACUUUAUAGACCUUAUCAUUGCAGCUAUAUGUUUGUCCUUUCCCUGCAGCUCUAAGUUUAAACAAUUUAGUUUUUCCAUUAUGUUUGUGAAAAAAGUCAAAUCUGCUAGCCAAUGAGGGUUUUUUAGUUCAAAAAAAUUUUGAUCUUUGGCAUUGAGAUAAUUUUUUAUUUUUUCAAUUGAAUUUACAAAUCUAGCAAGAACUUCGUCUUUACUGAGCCAACAUACUUCAGUAUGCAGAAUGAGGUCAGGAUCUUCAGGAUUUUCUAAUAGGGCCUUGAAAAGGCAGUGUUGCAAAGGAGCUGCGCGAAUUAAGUUGACUAUUUUUGUAAUUAUUUUAAUGACGUGUCCGAAGGGUAGUAUUCUACCACACACAACUUUCUGGUUGAUAAUACAAUGAUACAACAUAAAUUUUGGAAAUGAUUCAUUUUUUCUGCAGAGGGCAAUAAAUUUUUUGACCUUACCAACCAUUGCUGGUCCCAUCAGUGGUUAUCGCAGACAGCUUCUGGAAAGGCAUAUCUAUCAACUUUGCAUAUGUUAUAAAUAUUUUAUAGAUAUCUUUACCCGUUGUCUGUCCUUUCAUAGAUAAUAUUUUUAGAUUUUCUUUUACAGUAAAGUCACUAAAUACUAUUUUCACCAUAACUGCUGACUGUAAUGUGUGAUAUGUCUGUAGACUCGACAAAUUGUAGUGAGAUCUACUCACAUUUCCACAUCACUCUUUAAGUGAGUUUGCAUUUCCUUUGAAAUGGCUUGUAUUUUUCUUGUAAUGGUGUUAUCUGACAACUGUAAGUCUUGUAUUGCUGACAUGAUCUCACGUUUGUUGGAAAAUCCCUCAAAUAAGCAAUUGGUGCCAGUAAGAAAUGCUUCUUUUAACAACUCACCAUCCUGGAAAAGCUUUUUCUUCUUUGCGAGUAUGUGAGAAACUUUUAAAGAAGCUGUUGUAUAAAAAAUGAUGUUGUGAUGAUGGUGGUAUGAAAUGUUCCCGUUUACACGGUCUUAAUUAAUUAAAGAACACAGUACAUACUUUCCUUGUAACAAUAACAAUACAAUGAUACUUUAAUGUCUCCAAAUCAGCGAGUGACUCUCUGGCACUCCACAAUUGAGCAACACUCAGGCACCCGACAAUUAUUGGUAAUUACAACACUGGUUCCUGACCAGCCACACAGCUACCUACUCUGGUUAGCUCCCCUGUCAGUACUGCCUCCACACACAACACUGACCCUACACACACCCAAAGGAAAGUGCACAAAUUUUUCCUCUCACCAAUUCUCCCUCUCUAGGUGGGACAAUCUCUCCCACAUUCUUGGGGAUACUGUUACCUCACCCACCUGACGUGUGACAAAGCUGUGGACUGUCCAUUACCACUUGCUGACAUCCACACACCUGACACGUGUCACAACUGAACUAACAUUUUCCCGGCUUGAACCUUCCAAGGUUCAACAAGUUAUCUAUACAUACAUACAAAACAACAACUUUUUUUUUACAAAAUACAACUUCAGUUCUCCAAAGGUAGAACACCAAUUUUCGAUAAACUGUAUUUAAAUACACCAUUUUUUGUUUUUACACUUACAACUCUUACUUUACAGUCAGACCCUGGGAAAACUUCUGUAAUUCUUCCCACUAACCAUUUAAAAAUAGGUAUAUUAUCUUCCUUGAUAAUGACUAAUGUCCCUAUUUUAAUAUUAUCUCUUUCAGUCAUCCACUUAUUCCAUUGUUGUAAAUUAUUUAAGUAUAUAUUAAUCCACCGUUUCCAAAUGAUUUGCGUCAUUUUUGUUACACGCUACCAAUGUGAAAGUCUAUUGUCUGAUAGAGAUUUGAGAGCAAUGUCUGGUAGCAUGUCAAUUGGUCUACCUAUUGACCGUAUCUAAAAGUAAACAAAGCCUGGGGCUGGUCACGUGAUUGGACCUAGUUGAACUUCCGGUAGAACGUGAACGGUGUGUUAAUAGUCGAUGCGAAAGACCUUGUGUGUAUCAGUUACAAUCAUUUCUGUUCCGAAAAAUGUCCAGCGAAUAUUAUAAAGGUUUAGAUGAAUUAAGCAGGUAUAGGUAUAAGCAAAAAUUAAUGUUCAACAAGCAAGAACUGCCCGAUCCAAUGGACGACGAUUUAGCAAAAAUGUUAUUUCACGAUAACGUGAAAGCAUGGCCUAAGAUCACGUUAGUAGAUCUCUAUGCCUACUUUGUAGACCAGCUCUGCUUUUACACAAAACAACAACUGAAAAAUUAUACUUCACUUGAGAGUUAUAAUUACCUAGUGAGUGGAAAGGUGAAAGAAAUCACUGUUUACCCGUUGACGGAUCUGAAGCUAAAGAAAUUCUGAAGACUCUAACCUCUUGUUUCACAACCCGUGAUCUCGAGUUUGUAAACAACUGCCCAAAACAUUUUUUCCCUAGAUUUGCAUGUUAAAAGGAAAAAUACAGUCUGGGCAGAAGAAGACGUUUCAACAUCCCUGGGCAGUGGUGCAAAUUAAUGGAGUUAUUGUAAGCGGUCACUGCACAUGUAUGGCUGGGUAUGCAAAUUUUAUAUUAAUAUUAGAAUAUUAUUAUUUACUGACCCAGAUAUAAUUUUAGUCUUGGUGAAAGUUGCAGCCACCUUGGUGCAUUACUUUUAACAAUAGAAGCAACAGUGAAAGCUAAUGAAGAAACUCCAUGCACUUCUCUUCCAUGUUCAUGGAAGAAAUUUAACAGAGAGGUAAUAAUGUUGUGUAAUGGCACCGUUAUUAAGAAUCAUUAUGUAAACUGUUUUUAUUGUGUGAUUUUUAUUAAAAUUAUUCAUUUACAUAAUGUAGGUUGAACCAAGCCAAAUUUCAAAUAUUUGUUUUUCAAAAUCAAAGCACAAUAAUCCAUUCCUACUAAACAAAAAACAAAAAACAGACAU